GGCUCGUUGGUCAAGAGGUUAAGACACCGCCCUUUCACGGCGGUAACAGGGGUUCAAUUCCCUGUGCGCUC
rnacentral:tRNA from 1 species